rnacentral:misc_RNA from 1 species
GAUGAAGAACGCAGCAAAAUGCGAUAAGUAAUGUGAAUUGCAGAAUUCAGUGAAUCAUCGAAUCUUUGAACGCACAUUGCGCCCGCUGGUAUUCCGGCGGGCAUGCCUGUUCGAGCGUCAUUUCAACCCUCAAGCCCCCGGGUUUGGUGUUGGGGAUCGGCUCUGCCCUUCUGGGCGGUGCCGCCCCCGAAAUACAUUGGCGGUCUCGCUGCAGCCUCCACUGCGUAGUAGCUAACACCUCGCAACUGGAACGCGGCGCGGCCAUGCCGUAAAACCCCAACUUCUGAAUGUUGACCUCGGAUCAGGUAGGAAUACCCGCUGAACUUAAGCAUAUCAAUAAGCGGAGGA